rnacentral:rRNA from 1 species
AUUGAACGCUAGCGGGAUGCUUUACACAUGCAAGUCGAACGGCAGCGCGGACUUCGGUCUGGCGGCGAGUGGCGAACGGGUGAGUAAUGUAUCGGAACGUGCCCAGUAGCGGGGGAUAACUACGCGAAAGCGUAGCUAAUACCGCAUACGCCCUACGGGGGAAAGCAGGGGAUCGUAAGACAUUGCACUAUUGGAGCCACCGAUAUCGGAUUAGCUAGUUGGUGAGGUAACGGCUCACCAAGGCGACGAUCCGUAGCUGGUUUGAGAGGACGACCAGCCACACUGGGACUGAGACACGGCCCAGACUCCAACGGGAGGCGGCAGUGGGGAAUUUUGGACAAUGGGGGCAACCCUGAUCCAGCCAUCCCGCGUGUGCGAUGAAGGCCUUCGGGUUGUAAAGCACUUUUGGCAGGAAAGAAACGUCGCGGGCUAAUACCCCGUGGAACUGACGGUACCUGCAGAAUAAGCACCGGCUAACUACGUG